GUAACACAUGCAAGUCGAACGGUAACGCGAGGAGCUUGCUCCUUGGCGACGAGUGGCGGACGGGUGAGUAAUGCUUAGGAAUCUGCCCAUGUAGUGGGGGACAACACGGGGAAACUCGUGCUAAUACCGCAUACGCCCUACGGGGGAAAGCGGGGGAUCUUCGGACCUCGCGCUAUUGGAUGAGCCUAAGUCGGAUUAGCUUGUUGGUGGGGUAAAGGCCUACCAAGGCUACGAUCCGUAGCUGGUCUGAGAGGACGAUCAGCCACACUGGGACUGAGACACGGCCCAGACUCCUACGGGAGGCAGCAGUGGGGAAUAUUGGACAAUGGGGGCAACCCUGAUCCAGCAAUGCCGCGUGUGUGAAGAAGGCCUGCGGGUUGUAAAGCACUUUCAGUAGAGAAGAAAAGCUUAGGGUUAAUACCCUUGAGUCUUGACGUAACCUACAGAAGAAGCACCGGCUAACUCCGUGCCAGCAGCCGCGGUAAUACGGAGGGUGCGAGCGUUAAUCGGAAUUACUGGGCGUAAAGCGCGCGUAGGCGGUUGUGUAAGUCGGAUGUGAAAGCCCAGGGCUUAACCUUGGAAUUGCAUUCGAAACUGCAC
rnacentral:rRNA from 1 species